GCUGGGCGUGGUGGUGGGCGCCUGUAAUCCCAGCUACUCGGGAGGCUGAGGCAGAAGAAUCGCUUGAGCCCAGGAGGAGGAGGUUGCAGUGAGCCGAGACUGUGCCACUGCAUUCCAGCCUGGGCGACAGAGCGAGACCCUGUCUCGG
ensembl:misc_RNA Metazoa_SRP Metazoan signal recognition particle RNA